AGUGAACGCUGGCGGUAGGCCUAACACAUGCAAGUCGAACGGCAGCACAGUAAGAGCUUGCUCUUACGGGUGGCGAGUGGCGGACGGGUGAGGAAUACAUCGGAAUCUACUUUUUCGUGGGGGAUAACGUAGGGAAACUUACGCUAAUACCGCAUACGACCUACGGGUGAAAGCAGGGGAUCUUCGGACCUUGCGCGAUUGAAUGAGCCGAUGUCGGAUUAGCUAGUUGGCGGGGUAAAGGCCCACCAAGGCGACGAUCCGUAGCUGGUCUGAGAGGAUGAUCAGUCACACUGGAACUGAGACACGGUCCAGACUCCUACGGGAGGCAGCAGUGGGGAAUAUUGGACAAUGGGCGCAAGCCUGAUCCAGCCAUACCGCGUGGGUGAAGAAGGCCUUCGGGUUGUAAAGCCCUUUUGUUGGGAAAGAAAGGCAGCAGGUUAAUACCCCGCUGUUCUGACGGUACCCAAAGAAUAAGCACCGGCUAACUUCGUG
rnacentral:rRNA from 1 species